GGUUUAUAGAAAAUUAUAAUUAUAAAUUUGUUCUGCCCAUUGAAUAAGAUUUUAACGGCUGCAGUAUAUUGACUGUACAAAGGUAGCAUAAUCAAUUGUUUUUUAAUUGAAAACUUGUAUGAAAGAAUUGAUGAGAUAAAAAUUGUUUCAAUAAUUUAAUAUGAAUUUAAAUUUUAAGUUAAAAUGCUUAAAUUUUUUUAUUAGACGAAAAGACCCUAUAGAAUUUUAUAAAAUUAAAUUAAAAUAGAUAUUAUAAAAAAUUAUUUAUUUUAUUUUAUUAUAUUUAGUUGGGAGGAUUAUAAAAUUUAAAAAACUUUAAUUUAUUUUAAAACAUUAAUUAAUGAAUAUUAAGAUUAUUAUUAUAAUUAAAAGAAAAAAUUACCUUAGGGAUAACAGCGUAAUAUUUUUGGAGAGAUCAAAUUGAUAAAAAUGUUUGCGACCUCGAUGUUGAAUUAUGAUAUAAUUUAAGUGAAGAAAUUUAAAUUGUUAGUCUGUUCGACUAUUAAAAUCAUACA
rnacentral:rRNA from 1 species